GACGAACGCUGGCGGCGUGCCUAAUACAUGCAAGUAGAACGCUGAAGGAGGAGCUUGCUUCUCUGGAUGAGUUGCGAACGGGUGAGUAACGCGUAGGUAACCUGCCUGGUAGCGGGGGAUAACUAUUGGAAACGAUAGCUAAUACCGCAUAAGAGUAGAUGUUGCAUGACAUUUGCUUAAAAGGUGCAAUUGCAUCACUACCAGAUGGACCUGCGUUGUAUUAGCUAGUUGGUGAGGUAACGGCUCACCAAGGCAACGAUACAUAGCCGACCUGAGAGGGUGAUCGGCCACACUGGGACUGAGACACGGCCCAGACUCCUACGGGAGGCAGCAGUAGGGAAUCUUCGGCAAUGGACGGAAGUCUGACCGAGCAACGCCGCGUGAGUGAAGAAGGUUUUCGGAUCGUAAAGCUCUGUUGUAAGAGAAGAACGAGUGUGAGAGUGAAAAGUUCACAC
rnacentral:rRNA from 1 species